CAGACAGAGAGAAAGAAACUGAUGAGUGUGAUGUGAGGAGAGAGAGAGAGAGCGGUGAAAAAAGGAGAAGUCAAAGUCGGGAUGAAUUCUCUGAUUUCUGAGGUUUCCACCAAAGUUCAAGCAGCUCAGAUGAAGAAAGCUGGAAGAUUAAUGGUCAAAUCUGAAUGUGCAGCACCUGUUACUCACAGUGAUGAUUUAAGUCUAUUACACUGUUGUUACUCUAUUCUAUAUAUACUGUUCAUUCUGUUCACACUGAAAAGAUCAGUAUUGUUGAUCAGCAGAAUUCAGUCAGUGUAAAUAUUCACUGUUUCCACAGAGCUUUAUUUUCCUUCUAUUUUAUAUUGUACAGGUAAUUGAAUCUAUUUACAUAAUCUGUAGAAAGUGUGUUCUGUAUAAAUAAAAAGUAAUAUUUUAUGUGUUUUCCUAUUCUUCAUUUCUCUGUUUCAUGUAUUACUAUUACAGCAGUCUAAUGUGACGCUGCUGCAGAAUAUAUAAAAAUCUUUCUUGGCCAAUAAAAAUGUUCCGUUUCCUGCU